GGAGGAUUAGUCAAGCUGGAGAGCAACCUGCCUUAACAACAGGGGUCGGCGUUCGAUCCCGUCAUCCUCCACCA
rnacentral:tRNA from 1 species